UACGAAGGGGGCUAGCGUUGUUCGGAGUUACUGGGCGUAAAGGGCGCGUAGGCGGUUCGUACAGUCAGACGUGAAAUUCCUGGGCUCAACCUGGGGGCUGCGUUUGAUACGUGCGGGCUUGAGUUCGGAAGAGGGUCGUGGAAUUCCCAGUGUAGAGGUGAAAUUCGUAGAUAUUGGGAAGAACACCGGUGGCGAAGGCGGCGACCUGGUCCGAUACUGACGCUGAGGCGCGAAAGCGUGGGGAGCAAACAGG
rnacentral:rRNA from 1 species